rnacentral:rRNA from 1 species
GAUGAACGCUGGCGGCGUGCCUAAUACAUGCAAGUCGAACGCUUCACUUCGGUGAAGAGUGGCGAACGGGUGAGUAAUACAUAAGUAACCUGGCAUCUACAGGGGGAUAACUGAUGGAAACGUCAGCUAAGACCGCAUAGGUGUAGAGAUCGCAUGAACUCUAUAUGAAAAGUGCUACGGGACUGGUAGAUGAUGGACUUAUGGCGCAUUAGCUGGUUGGUAGGGUAACGGCCUACCAAGGCGACGAUGCGGAGCGGACCUGAGAGGGUGACCGGCCACACUGGGACUGAGACACGGCCCAGACUCCUACGGGAGGCAGCAGCAGGGAAUUUUCGGCAAUGGGGGAAACCCUGACCGAGCAACGCCGCGUGAAGGAAGAAGUAAUUCGUUAUGUAAACUUCUGUCAUAGAGGAAGAACGGUGGAUAUAGGGAAUGAUAUCCAAGUGACGGUACUCUAUAAGAAAGCCACGGCUAACUACGUGCAAGCAGCCGCCGUAA